rnacentral:tRNA from 1 species
GGGGAUGUGGCUCAGUGGCAGAGUGCUUGCCUGGCAUAUAAGAGGGCCUGAGUUCAAUCUUUAGCAUCACAA